rnacentral:rRNA from 1 species
GAUGAACGCUGGCGGCGUGCUUAACACAUGCAAGUCGAACGAAGAACCGUAUUUCUUUUUCUUCGGGACUGAUCAUUUUGUGACUGAGUAGCGGAUGGGUGAGUAACGUGUGGGUAACCUGUCAUGUACAGGGGGAUAACAGUUUAAAACGUCAGCUAAUACCGCAUAAGCGUACAGCAUCGCAUGAUGCAGUGCGAAAAACUCGGGUGGUAUCGGAUGGACCUUCGUUGGAUUAGCUAGUUGGUGAGGUCACGGCCCACCAAGGGGACGAUCCAUAGCCGACAUGAGAGAGUGACCGGCCACAUUGGGACUGAGACACAGCCGGGACUCCUACGGGAGGCGGCAGUGGGGAAUGUUGCACAGUGGGCGAAAGCCUGAUGCAGCGACGCCGCGUGAGCGAAGAAGUAUGUCGGGAAGUAAAGCUCUAUCAGCUGUGAAGGUAAUGACGGUACCUGACUAAGAAGCACCGGCUAACUACGUG